UCCAUGCACACCGUGGCAGGCCUAAGAAUGUUCGCAGAGCUUGGGCCUGAAGCCUUUCGAACGACCGAAAGCUCAGCGAAGACGCCUCAUGGACAGAGAAUUACUUGUGAAAUGAGUGGAAGUCCAAGCUGGCGAAACCGAACAAGCACCGCCAUCUUCGCAAGACCACCGAAAUGAAACAAAAUAAAUAUCAAAUUGUAAGAAGAGAAGAUACGGCGUAUCCCCCCUGAAGUACAAUUUCUCUUUUUCUAACAUCUUUCAUGUUGCCUUUAUUAUUAUUAUUAUUAUUAUUAUUAUUAUUAUUAUUAUUAUUAUUAUUAUUAUUAUUAUUAUUAUUAUUUACAUAAGUAAAGGUUCUACAGACUAGGCAUCUCCAUCCGGAGCAGCCUUGGUGUAAGGGCAUACGCCUUGGUUUUCUUUUUUUUUUCGGAGGUAUUAAGUCAAAAACUUCAAAAACGGCCGAAAGUGUGCUAUAUGUUAGCAUUAUUCUUUCACCAAAUAUCCUAUAGUGACCACGUCCCCUGUUUACAAUGGAAGAGGAGAAGAAGAAGAGAAAGAAGGACUAUGCUUGUUAGCAAACAACAAUCUGUAACAGUAGACACUUUAAUUCACAUUUACAAGAUACUCAUUUCAUUUCACCUGCUCCACGUGCUCUCGAUCUGUGACACGCCGUCGUGCACGAAACGCCGGCAGCACUACGGAGGCCUACGUCUUCAGGACAGGCGUGUACUUGAGCCCGACCUUCACUUCACGGGUCUUUUGCAGGUGGAGCGCACCCGGGUGCCCAUCCCGAGCAUCUUGUCGUGAGUGCCAACGGUGAUUCGCAUGGAGAAGCGGCCCGAGCCCGAGGUGACGCUGUGCUCAGCCGUGUUCCUGUGCCUGGUCGUGUCCUCAACCACCGCGCUGGUGCUGGCGCGCAGGGUGCCCAAGUACGCUGAAGAACCAAGAACCACGCGGAAGGCGCGUGGUUCUGCCAGGCUGCCUCGAGCACGCGCGCCGGCUGAGCUGAGCACGCUGUACCCGACGGCCGACCAGUGCCUGGAUUUUCACUGGCACCUCUCGGACGCGCAUAUACGAAUGCGUUAGCAUUGCCGAAGACCGGCCAGACCGGCUGCGCGGAUCGCCGGCCAGAUCGGACAGGUUCUGCAGGCACACAUGCAAGGCAUGUGCAGCCUGGCGUAAUACUUGAGCGGCGUCGUGCGUCGCUUCGAUACAUGCUAUGCAUGCAUUCCAAUAUUUAUUGAGCUUUCAUUGUAAUUUGUUAUAGAAUAAAAUAUUUUAGCCUUUCGUCGUUAC